rnacentral:rRNA from 1 species
UGGGGAAUAUUGCACAAUGGGCGAAAGCCUGAUGCAGCGACGCCGCGUGAGGGAUGACGGCCUUCGGGUUGUAAACCUCUUUCAGUAGGGACGAAGCGCAAGUGACGGUACCUACAGAAGAAGCACCGGCCAACUACGUGCCAGCAGCCGCGGUAAUACGUAGGGUGCGAGCGUUGUCCGGAAUUAUUGGGCGUAAAGGGCUCGUAGGCGGUCUGUUGCGUCAGGAGUGAAAACUCGGGGGACUUUAACCCCGGAGCCUGCUUCUGAUACGGGCAGACGUAGAGGUAUGCAGGGGGA